UACGGAGGGGGCUAGCGUUGUUCGGAAUUACUGGGCGUAAAGCGCACGUAGGCGGCUUUGUAAGUUAGAGGUGAAAGCCCGGGGCUCAACUCCGGAAUUGCCUUUAAGACUGCAUCGCUAGAAUUGUGGAGAGGUAAGUGGAAUUCCGAGUGUAGAGGUGAAAUUCGUAGAUAUUCGGAAGAACACCAGUGGCGAAGGCGGCUCACUGGCCUGGUAUUGACGCUGAGGUGCGAAAGCGUGGGGAGCAAACAGG
rnacentral:rRNA from 1 species